rnacentral:rRNA from 1 species
AUUGAACGCUGGCGGCAGGCCUAACACAUGCAAGUCGAACGGUAACAGGAAACAGCUUGCUGUUUCGCUGACGAGUGGCGGACGGGUGAGUAAUGUCUGGGAAACUGCCUGAUGGAGGGGGAUAACUACUGGAAACGGUAGCUAAUACCGCAUAACGUCGCAAGACCAAAGAGGGGGACCCUCGGGCCUCUUGCCAUCGGAUGUGCCCAGAUGGGUUUAGCUUGUUGGUGGGGUAACGGCUCACCAGGCGACGAUCCCUAGCUGGUCUGAGAGGAUGACCAGCCACACUGGAACUGAGACACGGUCCAGACUCCUACGGGAGGCAGCAGUGGGGAAUAUUGCACAAUGGGCGCAAGCCUGAUGCAGCCAUGCCGCGUGUAUGAAGAAGGCCUUCGGGUUGUAAAGUACUUUCAGCGGGGAGGAAGGGAGUAAAGUUAAUACCUUUGCUCAUUGACGUUACCCGCAGAAGAAGCACCGGCUAACUCCGUG